AGGAGCGCUGAGGCUCCGCCUCCUCCCAUCCCGGAGAGGAACAGACUUCCUGUGCUGCUGGGACUUCUGGGGUUUCGGACUCCCGCGUGGAGCGCCGGCCUCGCCGCCGGGCCGGAUCAGCUCCCCCAGAGUAACCAGGAUUUUGUUUCACCGUCUCGUCCCGAUCCCGAGUCCACGGUGCAGCCGCCGGGUCCCGGGGGCGUUCCCCCGUGACUCCUCCCCUGAAGGGAGACUAGGACUUGUGGAACCCCCCCCCUUCGGAAACGUGUUCCUGGGUGUGACUCCGUGUUUGUACAGGACGGCGACAUGAUUUCUAAAUGUGUUUUUUAAGUGACGUUCUCACAGAGCAUGCACGGUUCCACAGAGGAGCAUCCCGUCACCAUGGAAACCAUCCCAACACACACUUUCUGCAGAGUCCUUAACUACGGCCGGGAGAAACGGAAGUUUGUGUUUGAACCUCGUCUUUUCAGGUUUUCUCUUCCGGCAAAACGGUACGAAGGAAAAACAAAAGUAAUCAAAUCCCCAUCCUGACCUGCUGCUGGUUCUGAUCAUUCCACUGAGGAGGUUCUGCAGGUUUGUCUCCUUUAGUGGUUCUGAUGUCCGACUCGGGUCCGUUUGAGCGGAGGAACUGCGUUUGGAACGUUGGAUUGAGGUUCUGUUUCCACCAGUCCUCUCAGAAACCGGGCUUCACUACAGAGUUUUAGAAGAACCAAUCACGGACAGACCCGUGGCUCCUCUGUGAUCCUGAGGAGCCAGACAUGGUGGUGGUACUGUGAUGGUCUGGGUCGGUUCUGCUGCUUCAGGACCUUCAAGAGUUCUUCUUCCCCAAAACUCCUGAAGCAUAAAGUCUGUUCCUGAGCUCAGGUGUAAUCCUGCUGCUGGUUCUGCAGCAGAACCGAGGUCCAAACGUUCCAAACGGAGGAACCAGAGGAAGACGAGUUUGUAACGGAGACGAUCAGAAACGUUUGAACGCGACAAACUGUGUUUCUCUCAUGUUUACAAUCGUUUGAUUCUAAAAACGGCAGAAGUGCAGACUCAUGUUUUAUUGUGAAAAUCUCUGCUUUAAUGUGAAAGCAAAGUGAGGCCCUCCUUCCACCACUGACUCCUCCCCUUCUGUCGCGUUGCCAUAGCAUCCAGGCUCAGUGCAGGUGUCAGAUUUCAAAGUUCCAAUAGGAGUCUGUCGAGACUCCGCCCUCAAACGCGGCGCCACUUUGAGUCUAAGUUUAAUGUUAAACUUUGUGAUUAUCAGACGGAACCAGGAAGAAGUUCAACCAUUAUCACGGAAAUGCCCCGCCCCCACCCAGUACUUUCAAAAUAACAGCGCUAUCUCGUUGCAAUAUGGCUUCAACCUGAUGGAGAUGAGGAGCAAAGUCAGAUGUUUGGUUUGUGGGAUGGAAGCUGGAGCUCUGAUGAGGCGUUCAAGAACAGCUGACGUUUAUAGGAAAAGAGGAAACGAUUGAGCAAAGGAGAGAAGAAAACCUCCAUCGGGUUUCAAAAGCCCGGAAGUUCCUCCGCUGUUCUCUGAUUUUGCUCGAACAGAACCUCCGUUUUCAGUCGGGUCUGUUUUUUAUUCCUGAAAAAUCAGAACUCCAGCAGAACCCGCUUCAGAGCCGUGGAUUUUAGCGGGCCGUCGGGCCGCCGUGGUUUUCUUAUGCAAACAUGGUGACAGUUUGGAGGCGUGGCUCUGAGCCGCGUGGACGAUGUAGACGUGAGCGAUCCAAAUGUUUACUGUACAGAUCAGUUCAUCCGUGUGCUGGAAGCUGCACAAUAAACUCCUCCUGUGGAACCGC